rnacentral:lncRNA from 1 species
AACAAACGUGCUGCUCGAUUCAAUAACCAACCUGGGCCUGCUCCCUGCCCUCUUUGUGGUGCACCUGAUAGCCUCUCCCACACUCUGCUCAGAUGCACUCACCCACAAAUUAGUAGGAUGCAUAUAAAUCGUCAUCAUCAAGCCCUCAGCAUCUGUGGUGAAGCACUCAGCAAAGGUGACUUUGGACCCUUCAUUGUCUCAAUGGACGCUUGCAACCCAGAUAGGCUAACCUCCCUGGAUAUAGAAAUCCCAAAUGAUGUUCAAAGAAACAUUCCAAAUUGGGUCUUCCCCUCCAGACAACCACCAAACACACAACUUAGUCGCCCUGAUGGCAUCAUAGUACUACCCCUGCAAGGCAGAAACUCCACCCAACACCUUAAGAACAUGAACCCCAGAGACAAAGACAUUCACCUCCUUGAGCUGAAAUUCUGCUCAGACACCAAUCCUGAAC